rnacentral:rRNA from 1 species
UACAGAGGGUGCGAGCGUUGUCCGGAAUCACUGGGCGUAAAGGGUGCGUAGGCGGCGCGGUAAGUCGGGUGUGAAAUUUCGAGGCUUAACUUCGAAACUGCAUUCGAUACUGCCGUGCUUGAGGACUGGAGAGGAGACUGGAAUUUACGGUGUAGCGGUGAAAUACGUAGAUAUCGUAAGGAAGACCAGUGGCGAAGGCGGGUCUCUGGACAGUUCCUGACGCUGAGGCACGAAGGCCAGGGGAGCAAACGGG